rnacentral:misc_RNA from 1 species
AAGUCGUAACAAGGUUUCUGUAGGUGAACCUGCAGAAGGAUCAUUAGUGAAGAUUUGGGCAGGCCAUACGGACGCCACAAAGUGUCCCUGGCCGCCUACACCCACUAUACAUCCACAAACCCGUGUGCACUGUCCUUGGAAAGGGCAUUUGGAGAGAAAAAGGAAGAGAAGCGAGAACAGUGCGAUCCGUCGCGUUGGGCGUUGAUCUCUGACUUGGUCUCUCUGAGGCCCUUUCCUCGCUACAAACUCGAAUGGUUAGUAUGAACGUGGAACUUGGUUGGACCGUCACUGGCCAACAAACUAUACACAACUUUCGACAACGGAUCUCUUGGUUCUC